CCUACGGGGGGCAGCAGUGGGGGAUAUUGCACAAUGGGGGAAACCCUGAUGCAGCGACGCCGCGUGAGGGAAGACGGUCCUCUGGAUUGUAAACCACUGUCUCCAGGGACGAAGAUGACGGUACCGGGGGAGGAAGCUCCGGCUAACUACGUGCCAGCAGCCGCGGUAAUACGAAGGGAGCGAGCGUUGUCCGGAAUUACUGGGGGUAAAGGGAGCGUAGGCGGGACUGCAAGUCGGGUGUCAAAUCUACCGGCUCAACCGGUAGCCGCACUCCAAACUGCAUAUCUUGAGUGAAGUAGAGGCAGGCGGAAUUCCUAGUGUAGCGGUGAAAUGCGUAGAUAUUAGGAGGAACACCAGUGGCGAAGGCGGCCUGCUGGGCUUUUACUGACGCUGAGGCUCGAAAGUGUGGGGAGCAAACAGGAUUAGAUACCCUUGUAGUC
rnacentral:rRNA from 1 species